rnacentral:pre_miRNA from 1 species
AGUGGGACUGCUGGUUCAUAUGGUAGUUGUAGUUUUAAUUUUUUGAGGAAGCUUCAUCUUAUUUUCUGUAAUGGCUGUACCUAUUUACAUUCCUACCAACAGU